UACGGAGGAUGCAAGCGUUAUCCGGAAUGAUUGGGCGUAAAGCGUCCGCAGGUGGCUGUGUAAGUCUGCUGUUAAAGAGUGAGGCUCAACCUCAUAAAGGCAGUGGAAACUACAUGGCUAGAGUGCGUUCGGGGCAGAGGGAAUUCCUGGUGUAGCGGUGAAAUGCGUAGAGAUCAGGAAGAACACCGGUGGCGAAAGCGGCUUCCUGGUCCAGCACCGACGUUCAGGCACGAAAGCGUGGGGAGCAAACAGG
rnacentral:rRNA from 1 species